CUGGAGUUCUGAAGUGUGCUCUUCGCAUCGCAAUGCCUAUUGUGUCGGCUUGACCUUUCAUAAGUGGAGACAGAAUAAAGCGACCAUAAUAAUGGC